rnacentral:tRNA from 1 species
GCGGAAGUGGCGAAAUCGGUAGACGCACCAGAUUUAGAUUCUGGCGCCUUUGGGUGUGCGAGUUCAAAUCUCGCCUUCCGUA